rnacentral:rRNA from 1 species
AACGAACGCUGGCGGCAGGCCUAACACAUGCAAGUCGAGCGAGACCUUCGGGUCUAGCGGCAGACGGGUGAGUAACGCGUGGGAAUCUACACAUCCCUACGGAAUAGCUCCGGGAAACUGGAAUUAAUACCGUAUACGCCCUACGGGGGCAAGAUUUAUCGGGGAUAGAUGAGCCGGCGGUGGAUUAGCUAGUUGGUGGGGUAAAGGCCUACCAAGGCGACGAUCCAUAGCUGGUCUGAGAGGAUGAUCAGCCACAUUGGGACUGAGACACGGCCCAAACUCCUACGGGAGGCAGCAGUGGGGAAUAUUGGACAAUGGGGGCAACCCUGAUCCAGCCAUGCCGCGUGAGUGAUGAAGGCCUUAGGGUUGUAAAGCUCUUUCACCGGGGAAGAUAAUGACGGUACCCGGAGAAGAAGCCCCGGCUAACUUCGUGCCAGCAGCCGCAGUAA